GAUCGCGGACGGAGGGUCGCCUCCGCGCGCAAGCGCGGGAGAGGAACUUCCGAACUCCACAGGGCAGGGCGCCGGUUCAAAGCCGUUAAGCGGCCAUAGGCCGGGGGUUUGGGGCCAGAUCCCCAGGCCACGGAAAGUGCCACAGAAAACACACAGCCUCAGGCCCGCAAGGGCCGGCAAAGGUGAAAAGGUGCGGUAAGAGCGCACCGCGUCCGCCGCAAGGCGGACGGCAGGGCAAACCCCGUCCGGAGCAAGGCCAAAUAUGCGCAAGGAUGCCCGUCCGCGCCCGAAAGGGCAACGCGCAGAGUGGGCCGCACAAGAUAAAUGAUCCUCCAGGCGCCGCAAGGCGCUGGACAGAAUUCGGGGUACAGUCCGCGAUCAAAA
rnacentral:RNase_P_RNA from 2 species